UUGUUAGGAGUCCGCAAACGU
rnacentral:piRNA from 1 species